rnacentral:rRNA from 1 species
GAGUUUGAUCCUGGCUCAGAUUGAACGCUGGCGGAAUGCUUUACACAUGCAAGUCGAACGGCAGCACGGGGCAACCUGGUGGCGAGUGGCGAACGGGUGAGUAAUAUAUCGGAACGUGCCCAAUCGUGGGGGAUAACGUAGCGAAAGUUACGCUAAUACCGCAUACGAUCUACGGAUGAAAGCGGGGGAUCGCAAGACCUCGCGCGAAUGGAGCGGCCGAUAUCAAAUUAGGUAGUUGGUGGGGUAAAGGCUCACCAAGCCAACGAUCUGUAGCUGGUCUGAGAGGACGACCAGCCACACUGGAACUGAGACACGGUCCAGACUCCUACGGGAGGCAGCAGUGGGGAAUUUUGGACAAUGGGCGCAAGCCUGAUCCAGCCAUUCCGCGUGCAGGAUGAAGGCCUUCGGGUUGUAAACUGCUUUUGUACGGAACGAAACGGUCUGCCCUAAUACGGCAGGCUAAUGACGGUACCGUAAGAAUAAGCACCGGCUAACUACGUG